rnacentral:rRNA from 1 species
UACAGAGGUCCCAAGCGUUGUUCGGAUUCACUGGGCGUAAAGGGUGUGUAGGUGGCGCGCUAAGUCGGGUGUGAAAUUUCGGAGCUUAACUCCGAAACUGCAUUCGAUACUGCCGUGCUUGAGGACUGGAGAGGAGACUGGAAUUCAUGGUGUAGCAGUGAAAUGCGUAGAGAUCAUGAGGAAGACCAGUGGCGAAGGCGGGUCUCUGGACAGUUCCUGACACUGAGACACGAAGGCCAGGGGAGCAAACGGG